GGUUGACCGUGAAGAUCUAACUAGGUAGUCCUAGCGUCCUUCCCCCUUCCCCCUUCCCCCUUCCCAAGGAAUCCAACGGGAGUCCAUAAACUGUUACUAUAAUAAUCAACAAAAACCGGUUUCCGCUUUUCGUUUCAAGGAGGCGAUUAAGAUGAAGAUUACUGUCAUGACUGCAGAUGAACAAUUCAUCACCCUCGACGUCGACCAAGAUGAAUCUGUUGAGAAUGUGAAGGCGCUUCUUGAGGUGGAGACUAGUGUCGCUUUACAUCAGCAACAGCUCCAUUUCAACGGGAAGGAGAUUCGUAACUCGGAUCGCUUAGGUUCUGUUGGUGUUAGAGAAGGAGAUCUUGUUAUGAUGCUUUCGUCAAAU